rnacentral:rRNA from 1 species
GAUGAACGCUGGCGGCGUGCCUAAUACAUGCAAGUCGAGCGAACAGACGAGUAGCUUGCUCCUCUGACGUUAGCGGCGGGCGGGUGAGUAACACGUGGAGAACCUACCUAUAAGACUGGGAUAACUUCGUGAAACCGGAACUAAUACCGGAUAAUAUAUUCAACCGCAUGGUUGAAUAGUGAAAGACGGUUUUGCUGUCCCUUAUAGAUGGAUCCGCGCCGCAUUGGCUGGUUGGUAAGGUAACGGCUUACCAAGGCGACGAUGCGUAGCCGACCUGAGAGGGUGAUGGGCCACACUGGAACCGAGACACGGUCCAGACUCCUACGGGAGGCAGCGGUAGGGAAUCUUGCGCAAUGGGCGAAAGCCUGAAGGAGCAACGCCGCGUGAGUGAUGAAGGUCUUCGGAUCGUAAAACUCUGUUAUUAGGGAAGAACAAAUGUGUAAGUAACUAUGCACGUCUUGACGGUACCUAAUCAGAAAGCCACGGCUAACUACGUG